rnacentral:misc_RNA from 1 species
CGCGACCGGGGGAUACGUCACGUAAUGUAGGAAAGGCGUGCACGCACACACACACACACACACACACACACACACACACACACACACUCAUCACGUACGCGCGCCAAAUCGCGUUCUCUGCAGUUCUCCGACAGUCUCUCCAUCUCUCCAUCUCUCGCUCGCUCUCUCUUCGGUGUGCAUGCGAGCGCAGGUAUGCAUGCGUCGUCGCAGCGACAUUCCGCGUGCUCACGCUCAGAGAAUGAGGAGGGCGGCAGAGGAUGCCGAUGCAGUGAUGAUGAUGCGUGCAUGCAUGUCGGCCACCACGUGGGCUCUCUCGAGCCGAUAAUCGAUUCUUUUCUCUUAUUCCUUUUCCAUUCUGUCGCCGCGUAACGUGCGAUGUGAUGUGUGUGCUUAGCAGUAGCAACGUAGCGAACGAAAUCGGAAAGACGAAGGCAACCAUACCCGAUCGUCCUCCUUCCCGGUACUGCUCAGAGGAGGUAGUGGCAGUACAUACACACAAGCCCGCGCAUGCUCACAUCGUGAGCCGCAUUGCACGAAGAUGACCCCUUUGAACGUGUGCGUGUGACGUGUGUGGGUGUGUCAGCGCAUAAUGCCAUCGAGCCCGUGCGAGUAGUUUGCACGCAGGCCAUGUCACUGAUUGCUGUCAACGUCACCUCUGUCCCUACUUACACCCAACAUGCUACAACACGCACUCCUAACACCCUCAUGGUGCCUUUCCUUCUCUGACUCUCUUCUUGAUGGUGCUGCGUGUCUGAGGAUGCGUGUGCUGUGCAUCGAACGUACUCAG